CUGAUUAAAAGGAGAGAGACCUCUUAUGAGAAGAAUGCUCUUAUGCAUCUCUCUCUUUGUCUUGGAUGCUUUGUGAGGAUGUGAUGCCUGGAGCUGGGGCAGUCAUGUUGUGAUCAGCAAUCCCAUGGCUGCAGUUGAAAGCUAAUGUACAGAGACCCUGACGCUGGGAAAGAUUGAAGGCAGGAGACGGGGACAACAGAGGGUGAGAUGGUUGGAUGGCAUCACCGACUCGAUGGACAUGAGUUUGAGCAAGCUCUGGAGUUGGUGAUGGACAGGGAAGCCUGGCAUUCUGCAUUCCAUGGGGUCGCAAAGAAUCAGACAUGACUGAGCGACAGAACUAAACUGUACAGAGUAAGGCCCUUUCGCAGUGGAACUCUCCCAGGCUCAGUCGCAGGGCGUGUGCUGGCAACUUCAC
ensembl:lncRNA